rnacentral:rRNA from 1 species
GCAUGCAGUCGCGCGACGGACCUUCGGGUUACGGAGCGGCGAACGGGUGAGUAACACGUGAACAAUCUGUCCCUACAUUCCGGAUAAUUGGCCGAAAGGCCUUGUAAUACGGGCGAGGAUGGUGGUGAGGCAUCUCACUAUCAGGGAAGGUGCAACGCAAGUUGUGCCGUGCAGGGAGGGGUUCGCGGCCUAUCAGUUAGUUGGUGGGGUAACGGCCUACCAAGACGACGACGGGUAGCUGGUCUGAGAGGAUGGUCAGCCACAUUGGAACUGAGACACUGUCCAGACUCCUACGGGAGGCUGCAGUCGAGAAUCUUGGGCAAUGCACGAAAGUGUGACCCAGCGACGCCGCGUGGAGGAUGAAGGCCCUUGGGUUGUAAACUCCUUUUAUGGAAGAAGAACGUCCCUUCGGGGACUUGACGGUACUCCAUGAAUAAGCCACGGCUAACUACGUGCCAGCAGCCGCGGUAAUACGUAGGUGGCAAGCGUUGUCCGGAUUUACUGGGCGUAAAGCGUGUGUAGGCGGACCUUUAAGUAGAAAGUGAAAGGUAGGAGCUCAACUCCUACAUUGCUUUCUAUACUGGAGGUCUUGAGUGUCGGAGAGGAAGAUGGAACUGCACGUGUAGCGGUGAAAUGCGUUGAGAUGUGCAGGAACACCAAUGGCGAAGGCAAUCUUCUGGACGAAAACUGACGCUGAGACACGAAAGCCAAGGUAGCAAACAGGAUUAGAUACCCUGGUAGUCUUGGCCCUAAACUAUGUUCACUAGUGUCGGGGGUUUCCCUCGGUGC